GUGGGGAAUAUUGCACAAUGGGGGAAACCCUGAUGCAGCGACGCCGCGUGAGCGAGGAAGUAUUUCGGUAUGUAAAGCUCUGUCAGCAGGGAAGAAGAAUGACGGUACCUGAAGAAGAAGCACCGGCUAAAUACGUGCCAGCAGCCGCGGUAAUACGUAUGGUGCAAGCGUUAUCCGGAUUUACUGGGUGUAAAGGGAGCGCAGGCGGUUCUGCAAGUCUGAUGUGAAAGCCCGGGGCUCAACCGCGGGACUGCAUUGGAAACUGCGGGACUGGAGUGUCGGAGGGGUAAGCGGAAUUCCUGGUGUAGCGGUGAAAUGCGUAGAUAUCAGGAGGAACACCGGUGGCGAAGGCGGCUUACUGGACGAUGACUGACGCUGAGGCUCGAAAGCGUGGGGAGCAAACAGGA
rnacentral:rRNA from 1 species